UACGGAGGGUGCAAGCGUUAUCCGGAUUCACUGGGUUUAAAGGGUGCGUAGGCGGGUUGGUAAGUCAGUGGUGAAAUCUUCAAGCUUAACUUGGAAACUGCCUUUGAUACUAUCUGUCUUGAAUAUUGUGGAGGUAAGCGGAAUAUGUCAUGUAGCGGUGAAAUGCUUAGAUAUGACAUAGAACACCAAUUGCGAAGGCAGCUCACUACACGAAUAUUGACACUGAGGCACGAAAGCGUGGGGAUCAAACAGG
rnacentral:rRNA from 1 species